rnacentral:lncRNA from 1 species
AUGAGGAGAUUUUUCAGAGCGCAUAGCUACAGCGAUGAAGACAACAGUCAGAUCCAGUACCUGACGGCUAAGUGUAACCGUCUGACACAUGAAAAAGUAGUGCUGGAGAGGGAAUGCAUGGGGGCCAGGGAGAGAGAGAGGAGCCUGCAGAAUGAGCUGGAGGCUCUGUCCACACAGCUCUGCCAACAGGAGCAGGUCAACAUAGAUUUGAUGUUCAAACAUGAUCAAAUGCUCGGCAGGGUCCAUCAUGAACAGCAACGGGUACAUCUUGUGGUGGAGGAGAGCUUCAGAGAUGCUGCACUGCUGGGCCUACAGCUGGAACAGGUCAACUCGGAGCUACUGCACCUGCAAAGUUCUGAGGUGCAGCUGGAAGGCCUGGUGGAAGAGCUGCACACGGAGGACCUGCAGAGAGCUGCAUUGACAGAGGACCUUCAGGUGCAGCUGCACAGUAAGGUAUUGGAGUUGGAAGAGCUUCAGUGCUGCUACGCUGCCAACACCCAGGAGCUGGAGGAGCUGCGUAGCGCCAACCAGAGGAAGGUGCAGGGACUGCAGCGGGAGAACGAGUGCAGCCUGAAGAAGCUCCAGGAGACGGCCGAGCAGUUUGAGUGGCUGUGUGAACAGCAGCGCUACUGGAUGUGCUGUGUCAAGAGAUUCAAAGACUGCCUGUCAGAGGAGAAGGACUCUCUGGUGCAGCAGGUGAAACGGUUGGAGAAGGAGGUAGCAGAGCUGAGGAAGAGCUCAGAGAGCACCACCCAGAUGCUGUGCUGCCCCCUAGAGGACACAGUCAGCCAGCACUGUGACAGAAUGCCCUCUUGGGAAUCCGGUAAGAUGGCUGACCUGCAAACCCAGGUGGACAAAUGGAGAAAGCUGUAUGAGGACCUCUUCAGCCAGUUCACACCCCACCAAGUAAGCAUGGCCUACACUAACUUUGACCGAACCAAUGGCCACGAGAUGCACAUCUCUAGUCUUCAGGGGCUGCGUCUUGCUGUGUGUUGCCAAUCAGUGAGUUUGUUUGCUUGCUGGAUUUAGACUGACUACAGACGGGAGUUGUGCUUCACUGGUCUAAAUGGACAUGGCAAUAGUAACAUGACUGCCUAGGAUCUGGAGAAUCGUAUGAACCUUCAUUUCUCGGGCAUGGAUUUCUGUCUGGUUUUCUCAGUCAGUCUGUGCUAUGCAUGGCUGGGUUCCAGGCAACGGGGUGCUCUCCAAACCAAGGGAAUGAGAUGACUAAUGACUGGAGGAGGUGUUUCCCAGUGGUCUCUGUGCUUUGUUCCCUUCUGACUAGCUCUGGAGUGCACAUUUUGAGAUAAUUAUUCUGAUUGAGUGCAGAUGAUGCAGGCUGCAGUCUCUAGUGAGCCUGAGAGAAGAGGAAGCUAGCCGAAGCAAUAGGGACUGCCGGAGGAGAAGUAUAGGACAUGAGACAAGUGACCAUGCUAAAAUGCAUUACCGUUUUAUGAAUUAUAUGGUUGAUUCACACACCAGAGAACAGACUCGUGUUAUGACUCUUACAUUUGAGGGAGAUAAAAACAUCAUACUGUUCCUUACAUGAAGGUUUGGGGAGGGAGCAGAUGUUGAAUUUUCCAGAAUAUUCUCACUGUAAAUUGUGUAGGCCAUGUGUGUGUGGUUUAUGUUCAUUGCCUUUUGGCCGGACUCACCUAUAGUUUACUUUGUAUUCUCAGGGGGGGCACGUUGUCGACGGAUACCAAAAACCUCCUUGAGGUCAGAAGACCAUGAAAUCCAUCUAUUUUUCUUCAACCCAGUGGAGGCACUCCUAACUUUUGGCUGUUUGUCUCGCUACUCAACUGUUGCUGAGAACCAUACAACCUCACCGUUCUGUUGUUGUCAUUGUUUAAAUGUCUUGAAACCACUGCAUGACCAUGACUGUACUGGAGUGUGAUAUGCCACUUUGUUACAGUCUUUUGGUAUGAGUAUUACAGUGUUCUCCUAUUUGGACACUUUCCUGUCAUUGUCUAUUUUCAGACACACUGGUGGAACAUAGUAAAUCAACAAGUAAAAACACCUGAGAAUGUCUGUUUUGUUGUUGCUCUGCCAAUCCAGAUGAUGACUCUAGCUGAUGAGCAGAGAACCACAACACAUGCUAAUGUUUUGUCCUGGUGAACAUUCCUGACAUUAACUCCCAUUUACAAUUAACCAGAUGUGGGAUUAAAAACACAACUCAUGUAAAAUAUACUCUCUGUAAAAUGUACAUAUGUUCAGAACUUUUGUGAAACGGCACAGUUAAAAAAUAUAUGGCAAAAUGGAAAUCAAACUGGAUGCGCUUCAGCGAUAGAUGGUAGCUGAAAGAUGGGAUUAAAAACAAACAAGGGAACUAUUGUAAAAUACGUUGUCUGUAAAGUGUGUGUGUAGAAGCCUAAGUGGUCUUGUCCAUUAGUUUACUCCAAUUAGAAGGCAUGGUAGGUUUAGGGGGAAAAUAAUAAAGGAACAUAUAUUUUAAAAAGAUGUGUGUGUGUGUGUGUGUGUGUGUGUGUAUAUAUGUAUAUAUAUAUAUAUAUAUAUAUAUAUAGUAGCAGUCAAAAGUUUGGACACCUACUCAUUCAAGGGUUUUUAUUUUUACUAUUUUAUACAUUGUAGAAUA